GUCCGAGCCUUCCUGCUUGGGGGCGAGGCGGAGGCGGGGGCGCGGGCCGGGGGGCGCGGAGCGGCAGGGCCGGCGGUAGGGAGGGUGUGGAGAGACAAAGCGCACAGACUUCGGAAUGGAGCCUUUAAAUGCCCUUGUGUCUAAUGAUACUGGAAAAGGUCAGCAUCUGCAGACUAAACCGAAUGCAAGUGUGGAGGGUAGGGAGUCCACGCCUGCGACCGCUUUUCUGCGUGCAUCAGAGCUAGAGCGGCCAACAAACAACCUCAGGGCGGGGCUUCAUGGUCAGCAUAAUCUCAUCUCGGCGUUGCCGAGGGAUGCGGGCAGAUGGACAUGAGCCGUUCCAGGGGACUGCAGUCAAGAGAGUGGAGAGCACUGGUCCACCUGCAAAUUAAUCCUGCAACAAACUCGUAGUUUCCAUCCUAGUUGGUUCCACAGCCAAGCCCAUAGUUAGUUACACAAGCGCUAGUGGGACAGGACCACCACUUGCCACAGUAGCACUGUGGAUUUAGAUGGAAUUAAGUCAAUCAGGAAAUUACACCUUGAGAAAUGGUGCUGAUGCAGCCUCAAGAUAAGCGAAGAUAAAGUUUUCUGAGCUCUGUACUACUUUCUAAGCAGUGUGUUUUGGAAUUCAGAAAUUGUCUCUUGGAAAUUGUUCUUAGUGCUGUGGAAAGAGGUACUUGGAUAUGCAUUUAGUAAAUAAUUUUAAAAGCUGUUCUUAAAACAAUUUUCCUGUAUGUACUCUGUCUUUAUACAGACACAUGCAACAUCAUCCAAAAUACUGACUUACUACUGGGCUUGAGAAAAAUAAAAAUAUUUUACAAGGUA